CUGAACAAGAUCCUGUUGUGCUCUGAGGUAACCUUCUUCACUGUCGAGACGUAACAAAAAUCUGAUGCAGCUAUGCAGAAGAAAAGAAAAGCCCAGAGAUAGAGGGCCACGCAGACCGGAGGUUUGAGGCUUGGCUGCGACAGUACAACAGAUCAGGUGCCUCGAUAUCUGAAAAUUAUAACUUGCUGCCAACCACAUCAGAGUGUAAGGACUGACAGUAAAGCAAACAUUUUACACUGAAGCAAGGCCUCUCCUGGGAAAGGCAUUUCCAUCACUUGUAAUAUGCUGCCCGACCUGCUGAGCAGGCCUAGACCAUGGACAACAGAGGGAGACAAUGGCUUAGCAGUGAUGUCAUGGGUCUAGAUAACCUGGAGACCCAGGAAUUAUUCCAGGGACAGCCGCUCAGAUCCCACUCAGAAGCUGGAGAGAUUGAAUAAAAAGUAUUUGAAAUGUGAAUGAUUUGAAAUAAAAUAAAAUGAUGAUGACAAAA